rnacentral:lncRNA from 1 species
ACGAAAAAUAAUAAAUUUAUACAAGUUAUAUAAACACGAUUAGUUUACAAGUCCGAAUAAUUUAAUGUUUUACGAGAAAAAUAUAAGUUUAUAUAUAAACAUCAAUAAUAAAAAUAUCGCGUCGUUAAGAUUUUUACCACAUCUCGUGUUUGCCUCGUGUUGACCCGUUGACCACGAUUGACUGUUUGGCUGAGUUAACUCGAACAGAAACUGAACCGAAUUUGACUCGAGCCGAGACAAAACCCGCACAAGAAUCUGAGUCUGACCAAACCGAACCCGAUCUGAAGUUGACUGAAAUGAGACCCGAAUCUUGAACCAGAAUCUGUCCAAAACAGCACCCGAACCAAACUGAAGCUGAUACCCGAACAUCAAGCUGCUGACCUGGUUUGACCAUACAUGACCCGAACACUAAACCUGCUGAACCGUGACUCGACUCAGACAAAACAGACUCAGACAAAACAGACUUGAAUCCCAACUGGACCAGGCCCGAGACACCCAUCACUUCCGAAACCACCACUGGCACCACCGCCGAUCAUCAUCACCAUCGGAAACAUCAUCAUCAUCGGAAACGUAAAAGAAAUGGUGAACUGAGAUGAGUGCUUACCGGAUUUGUCGGGAAAAACGUCGAACAUAAAAGAAUAUUC